AUGAAUCCUCUAAACAAACAACAGGGAGCGAACGAUCAGGCAUACCUUGAGGCUCUCGACGACCCCCGGGACGACCUCGUGCUCGAGGCCCGAGUACUCGCCCUCGGUGUUCUCCCUGAUGACGACGAUGUCGACGUUCUGGUGCCUGGUGGGCAGGCCGGGGACGUUGGCGCAGUUGACGAGGGAGGCGAAGAGGUCGAGCUCCUUGCGGAGCUGCAUGUUGAGGGAGGAGACGCCCCCGCCGACGGGGGUGGCGAGGCCGCCCUUGAGGCAGACCUUGUUGCGGCGGAUGGACUCGAUGACGGCGGGGGGCACGGCGGGCAUGUCGCCGUGGACGUCGUAGGACUCGAAGUAGACGGGCGCGUGCAUCGCCUCCAUGACCUGCUCGACGGCGCCGGUGACGAGGGGCCCGAUGCCGUCGCCCGGGAUGAGCGUGACGGGACGCGGGGUGCCGUCGCCCGGGCGGGGCAUGUAGGUCACCGUGCGGCGCGCGCCGCCGCCGUGGCCCGGGAGGGGCGGCGCGGAGGAGACCAGGCGGCGGAGGAGCGGGGCGGAUCGCCGCGCCAUCGGGGGCUGGCUGGGGCUGCGGCUGCGGCGGGGCGAUGCGGAAUUGCGAUCCGGUAG
rnacentral:rRNA from 1 species